rnacentral:rRNA from 1 species
GAUCCUGGCUCAGGAUGAACGCUGGCGGCGUGCCUAAUACAUGCAAGUCGAACGCACAGCGAAAGGUGCUUGCACCUUCAAGUGAGUGGCGAACGGGUGAGUAACACGUGGAUAACCUACCUCAAGUUGGGGAUAACAUUUGGAAACAGAUGCUAAUACCGAAUAAAACUUAGUAUCGCAUGAUACCAGGUUAAAAGGCGCUACGGGCGUCACCUAGAGAUGGAUCCGCGGUGCAUUAGUUAGUUGGUGGGGUAAAGGCUUACCCAAGACAAUGAUGCAUAGCCGAGUUGAGAGACUGAUCGGCCACAUUGGGACUGAGACACGGCCCAAACUCCUACGGGAGGCUGCAGUAGGGAAUCUUCCACAAUGGGCGAAAGCCUGAUGGAGCAACGCCGCGUGUGUGAUGAAGGCUUUCGGGUCGUAAAGCACUGUUGUAUGGGAAGAACAGCUAGAGUAGGGAAUGACUUUAGUUUGACGGUACCAAACCAGAAAGGGACGGCUAAAUACGUG